rnacentral:misc_RNA from 1 species
UCAGACGAGACAGUUCCUGGUGUAAACAACUAAAAGAUUAGCCUCCAAUCUUCACGUUAAAAAGCCUUUUCCCUAAAAGGCUGACAGCCCUCUGUGAAGGCAACAAGAAGAAGUCUGAGCUCCCAUUGCCAUAAUUAUCAAACAGUCUUCGAUCCUGUGGUAUUCAAGGAGUCUUUGUUGAAUGGAUGAUCUCUGGAGGCAACAUGUGCGACAAUAACUUCAGGAUGCAGUUCAGCAGCAGUUUGGGACAAGAGGUAUACAUCAAACAAGAAAAUGACCUGCAUGCUGAUCAGGAGUCAUUUAGCAGCAUGGGAUGUAAGGUCUACAUCAAAGAAGAAAGUGACUUGUGCAUAAAGGAGGAGAAUCAGUAUUAUGAAGAAUGGUCGGAAAUUGACCAACCUUAUCUUGCAAAUAAUGAUGAUGACUGUGUGAUUAAGAGUGAGGAGUUACCCAUUAUGGCCCCAAUAGCUGUUGAGGGCUUCUUUUGUCAUUUUUGUGGGGAAGGAUUUGUUACAGAAACAAGUCUGGCUGUCCAUGUGCAAACACACAUGGGGUUGAAAUUCUUUGGUUGCGAAGUGUGCGGUAAAAGGUUUGCAAUGAAAAGUCACCUUACAUUACAUGCAAAGGUACACACCAAAGAGAAACCUUAUUGCUGUGAGAUCUGCUCCCUAAGAUUUUUGCAGAAACGUGCACUCAUAUCACACAUGAGACUACAUGCUGCCAUUCAGACUUUUACAUGUGAAGUGUGUAGUAAGACAUACCACCACAGAAGCCAUUUAGUCAGUCACAUGAGAGCACAUUCAGAUGAGAGACCAUAUAGCUGUGAAGUAUGUGAUAAAAAGUUUUCACAGAAAGGUCAUCUUACUCGGCAUGCAGUAAUUCAUGCUCCAGUGAAACCGAUAGAUAAUGGUGUUCAGAUGAAAGCGAUGAAUGGUCAUGUGCAGAUGAUAUCUGUGAAGAGUGAUGUGGAGUUGUUGGCUGUGAAGAGUGAUUUGCAGUUAUUAUCAGUUAAGAGUGAAAUGCCAAAUGAGCUAUUGUCUUUAAAAGAGCAGAAAUCAUAUACAUGUGAUGUUUGUGGCAAAAUCUUCUUACAGAAAGGAUGUUUAGUAAAACAUAUGAGAGUACACACAGGAGAGAAACCUUUUAGUUGCGAUGUUUGUAAUGAAAAAUUUUCUCGGAAAAGUACCCUGGUGAGACACAUUAGAAUUCACACAGGAGAAAAGCCUCAUUCUUGUGAAAUCUGUACGGAGAAAUUUUCAACAAAAUAUACACUGGUGCGGCACAGAAGAUGUCAUACAGGAGAAAAACCUCAUACUUGCGAGCUGUGUGGCAAGAAAUUUACAAACAAGAGUAAUUUAGUAAUUCAUAUGAGAGUACAUACUGGGGAGAGGCCAUACAGUUGUGAAGUGUGUCAUGAAAGAUUUUCUCAGAGAAGUAGCUUGGUAAUGCACAUGAGAGGGCAUACGGGAGAAAAACCUUAUAGCUGUGAGGUAUGUGGGGAAAGAUAUUCACAUAAAGGUAAUUUAGUAGUUCAUAUGAGAGUCCACACAGGGGAAAGACCAUACAGAUGUACAGUAUGUGGAGAGAAAUUCUCACAGAGAAGUAGUUUGAUGAUGCAUAUGAGAAUACAUAGAAGGGAGUAAGAAUUUGUAUGUAAUUAUUUAUGGUUCAUGGCUACUCUAGUGCUUUUGGUCAGACUGUUCUAUACUGAUGGAAGUCACUCAGACAACCUUAUCAUUAGAACAUGGGGAAUGUUGUUGAUAAGAAAAAAAGGAAAACAAAAGAAUUAGUCUUAGGGAAUGUGGAUAUCUCAGUGAUAUUACCAUUUGAAAGAGAUUUUCAUUAUUCAAGCUGAAAAAUCUUUUUCUCUCUCACCAAAAGAUUCAUCAGCUGUUUGAAAGCAACAGUACCAGCUUCCCUCGCAGUAGGCCUAGUACCCUAAAGGCCCCAAGGCCUAUGCCCCAAAUGAUGUCACAAUGGGUAUCAUCUUGUACAUAAUUGACACUGGAUUUUAGAAUGUAUAUCUGCUUAUUUGAUUCAUGAACUCUACAUGAAAUGCAGUGGUAGUUAGCAUGUUUACCAGGAACUCAAAACAGUGAAUGGAAUAAGGGAAGAAACGUGAAUUUGCCAGAGGCCUUUUUCCUGUAUUAUUUCUGCAGAAGCAACAUAGGCCUUCGGUUCAUUUGUGCGCCUUCCUGUUAUUCUCUUCAUUGUUCCUUUACAAAAUGCCCAGCAUGAAUCUUUCACGGGAACUCUAGUACUGUGUAUUAUAUGCUAAAGUUCUUGAGAUGAAAAUAUAUAUAUUUUGAAAAUAUGAAGGCUUUCACAGAGAGACAGUAUUUGAUUGUGUGUAGAGGAAAAAUAAAGUUUAUUAAAGAUAUACAAUGGA